rnacentral:rRNA from 1 species
AACGAACGCUGGCGGCAUGCCUAACACAUGCAAGUCGAACGAGACCUUCGGGUCUAGUGGCGCACGGGUGCGUAACGCGUGGGAAUCUGCCCUUGGGUUCGGAAUAACAGUUGGAAACGACUGCUAAUACCGGAUGAUGACGUAAGUCCAAAGAUUUAUCGCCCAAGGAUGAGCCCGCGUAGGAUUAGCUAGUUGGUGAGGUAAAGGCUCACCAAGGCGACGAUCCCUAGCUGGUCUGAGAGGAUGAUCAGCCACACUGGGACUGAGACACGGCCCAGACUCCUACGGGAGGCAGCAGUGGGGAAUAUUGGACAAUGGGCGAAAGCCUGAUCCAGCAAUGCCGCGUGAGUGAUGAAGGCCUUAGGGUUGUAAAGCUCUUUUACCCGGGAUGAUAAUGACAGUACCGGGAGAAUAAGCUCCGGCUAACUCCGUG